rnacentral:lncRNA from 1 species
AUUUGGGUAAAAGAACAUUUCUCCUUGGGCUACUCACUCAAGCUCUAUGAGUUUCUUCUCUGAAACUCCAGGGGAUAAAAUGUUUAGGUUUUCUAGCUUUAUGUAAGCCCACUGAUCUCACAUGUUGUAGACCAUUACUGCCUACAGGGUCCUUAGAAGUCAUCUGAUCCAGGAGUUGGCAAACUAAAUUGCCCCUCGAGCCCAUAUUUGCCGGGCUCAUGGAGAAUGUGAUUAAACCUGGUCUGGGAGCAAAAACCAUACAAGUAUUGCAUGUCACUUGGAACAGGGGGACACGUCGAGGGCACUUCCUUCUCAGGGUAGGUGACAGAGAUGUAGCGAUCUCAUCCUUCAACUGAAAGGAAAAAAUGACUUUCUGGGGAAUGUGAGCAGAGUCUCAAUCGACUAGAUGGGAUCCACUGGGGAUUUUUACCAAUUUGCUUUGCCGUUUUCUGUGCCGAUUGCUCUUUAAGGCAGUCCAGAUGUGGCACGGAGCACCCCAGAUACAGUAUCAGGGGACCUGAAUUCCAGCUCUGAAACUUAUUGGUUUUG